UGGGGAAUUUUGGACAAUGGGGGAAACCCUGAUCCAGCCAUCCCGCGUGUGAGAUGAAGGCCUUCGGGUUGUAAAGCACUUUUGGCAGGAAAGAAACGUCAUGGGUUAAUACCCCGUGAAACUGACGGUACCUGCAGAAUAAGCACCGGCUAACUACGUGCCAGCAGCCGCGGUAAUACGUAGGGUGCAAGCGUUAAUCGGAAUUACUGGGCGUAAAGCGUGCGCAGGCGGUUCGGAAAGAAAGAUGUGAAAUCCCAGAGCUCAACUUUGGAACUGCAUUUUUAACUACCGGGCUAGAGUGUGUCAGAGGGAGGUGGAAUUCCGCGUGUAGCAGUGAAAUGCGUAGAUAUGCGGAGGAACACCGAUGGCGAAGGCAGCCUCCUGGGAUAACACUGACGCUCAUGCACGAAAGCGUGGGGAGCAAACAGG
rnacentral:rRNA from 1 species